GGCAUCGCCUCCAUUCAGUGACAUCAGCCCGGCUGCCAUCCCGGCACAGCAGCUCGAAGUUCUGUGACAGCAGCGGCUGGCCCCAGGAGGGCAGGGUUUUCCCUGGGAAGAUGGGAAGCCUGUGACCCACAGUGAAAAGAAACCCUUACGGGAGGUGAGAACCAGAGCCACACCAAGAAGUGAGAACCCAGAACCGCACCAGGAGGUGAGACCAGAACUUAGAAUGAAGAGGAGCUUGGUGGCUGCACCGCACAAAACCAGGUGUCUCUGUGGACUGUGUCUAUUCACUUACCUUUUUUAUGUGUCACCAAUUUCUAGUAAUAAAAUGGAUUUGAGAUCUCUGA